rnacentral:rRNA from 1 species
GACGAACGCUGGCGGCGUGCUUAACACAUGCAAGUCGAACGGAAAGGCCCUGCUUUUGUGGGGUGCUCGAGUGGCGAACGGGUGAGUAACACGUGAGUAACCUGCCCUUGACUUUGGGAUAACUUCAGGAAACUGGGGCUAAUACCGGAUAGGAGCCCCUGCUGCAUGGUGGGGGUUGGAAAGUUUCGGCGGUUGGGGAUGGACUCGCGGCUUAUCAGCUUGUUGGUGGGGUAGUGGCAUACCAAGGGUUUGACGGGUAGCCGGCCUGAGAGGGUGGCCGGCGACAAUGGGACUAAGAGACGGCCCAGACUCCUACGGUAGGCAGCAGUGGGGAAUAUUGCACAAUGGGCGGAAGCCUGAUGCGGCAACGCCGCGUGCGGGAUGACGGUCUUCGGGUUGUAAACCGCUGUCGCCUGUGACGAAGCGUGAGUGACGGUAAUGGGUAAAGAAGCACCGGCUAACUACGUG